rnacentral:rRNA from 1 species
CACGUAGGGUGCGAGCGUUGUCCGGAAUUAUUGGGCGUAAAGAGCGUGUGAGGCGGCUAGAUAGGUCCGUUUGUGAAAACUCGAGGCUCAACCUCGAGACGUCGAUGGAAACCAUCUGGCUAGAGUCCGGAAGAGGAGAGUGGAAUUCCUGGUGUAGCGGUGAAAUGCGCAGAUAUCAGGAGGAACACCGGUGGCGAAGGCGGUUCUCUGGGCCUUACCUGACGCUGAGGAGCGAAAGCGUGGGGAGCAAACAGG